UACGAAGGGGGCUAGCGUUGCUCGGAAUCACUGGGCGUAAAGGGUGCGUAGGCGGGUCUUUAAGUCAGGGGUGAAAUCCUGGAGCUCAACUCCAGAACUGCCUUUGAUACUGAGGAUCUUGAGUUCGGGAGAGGUGAGUGGAACUGCGAGUGUAGAGGUGAAAUUCGUAGAUAUUCGCAAGAACACCAGUGGCGAAGGCGGCUUACUGGACCGGUUCUGACGCUGAAGCGCGAAAGCGUGGGGAGCAAACAGG
rnacentral:rRNA from 1 species